rnacentral:rRNA from 1 species
AAAUGAAUAGACGGGGGCUCGCACAAGCGGUGGAGCGCGUGGCUUAAUUCGUCGCUAAGCGAAAAACCUUACCGAGGCUAGAAACCAUACUGCACGCUCUGGGAAACCAGAGAAGCUUUCGAAGGUGUAUGGCAGGUGAUGCAUGGCCGUCGUCAGUUCGUGGCUUGAGCUGUUCCCUUAAGUGGGGAAACGAACGCAACCCUCGUUGCCUGUUACAAGUGUCAGGCGAGACUGCUCCCUCACGGGAGAGGAAGGUGAGGAUGACGCCAGGUCAGCAUGUCCCUUGAUGCCUCGGGCUGCACACACGCUACAAUGGGGUGCACAACGGGACGCAAUACAGUAAUGUGGAGCAAAUCCUUAUAAAACACCCCCCAGUUCGGAUUGUGGGCUGCAACUCGCCCACAUGAAGUCGGAAUCGCUAGUAAUCGCGGAUCAGCACGCCGCGGUGAAUACGUUCCCGAGCCUUGUACACACCGCCCGU